rnacentral:rRNA from 1 species
AUGCCAGCAGCCGCGGUAAUACGUAGGGUGCAAGCGUUGUCCGGAUUUAUUGGGUUUAAAGGGUGCGCAGGCGGCCUGUUAAGUUAGUGGUGAAAUCGUACAGCUCAACUGUAUAGGUGCCAUUGAUACUGGCAGGCUUGAGUUUGGCAGAGGGACUUGGAAUGCGUGGUGUAGCGGUGAAAUGCAUAGAUAUCACGCAGAACACCGAUUGCGAAGGCAGAGUUCUAUGUCAAAACUGACGCUGAGUCACGAAAGCGUGGGGAGCGAACAGGAUUAGAUACCCUGGUAGUCCACGCUGUAAACGAUGAUCACUAGGUGUUCGGUUCAUUAAGAGCUGAGUGCCCAAGCGAAAGCGAUAAGUGAUCCACCUGGGGAGUACGUCGGCAACGAUGAAACUUAAAUGAAUUGACGGGG